rnacentral:rRNA from 1 species
UACGUAGGGAGCAAGCGUUGUCCGGAAUCAUUGGGCGUAAAGCGCGCGUAGGUGGCCUCAUAAGUCCGCUGUGAAAGUCAAAGGCUCAACCUUUGAAAGCCGGUGGAUACUGUGAGGCUAGAGUACGGAAGAGGCGAGUGGAAUUCCUGGUGUAGCGGUGGAAUGCGCAGAUAUCAGGAGGAACACCGGUGGCGAAGGCGGGUCUCUGGGCAGUAACUGACGCUGAGGAGCGAAAGCGUGGGGAGCGAACAGG